UUUUUUUUUUUUUUUUUAAAUUAAAACUAGGUGUCUCCAUUUUUUUUCCACGGGACUUUUCUUUUCCUUUGUUUCUUUAAAAAAUUAUUUACAUACUUCUCUGCUGAGUUCACACACAAAAAUAAUUGCUACGAACUCCACUAUUAAUAAGCUACUAACUUUGGGUAAUUUGUCUGUUUCCUGGUUUCAUUAUUUGUAAAACAGGAAUUAUGAUGGUACCUAUUUCAUGAGGUUGCUGUUAUGACUAAAUUAGAUAAUAAACUUGGCAUGCACCUAAAACACACAGUAAACAAUAAAUGAUCAGCUGUCAUUAUUUUAAAUGAUUAUUUCAAAUGCAUUGCAUUCCUGGAAACCACCCUUUUGAACUUGUCAUUCAUAGAAUAAAACAGUAUCUAUCAAUGCAACUUCGUAUUUAUCUAUGAGGCAUCACCUUCCAAAGCCCUGAGCAGGUCAGUACAGUGGAGAUGAAAUAUGUCCCUCUAUAUACAUAAAAUAUAGAGAUGUCCAUAAGGCAGCAUCAAAAGAGCAAGCUACGAAUGGGAAGGAGUAGAGAUUGGGAUGCCUGUAUACCCUGUUCAGUCUGUAUUCCAUUUUCUCCGAGCUGCUCUUCAGCAUAUUUAUGGAAAUGUUAAUUAAGAAUAUGAUUCCUUUAUACAUUAUUAGAUUGAUGUAGAAGUUUCUGGGGACUAGAUGCAAUUAUGUCAUUCACUAAGACUGGUAGGUUCCAGUGCUUUCUUUAGUUGAAUGACUUCUUAUUGACCAAAUUAAUAAUUAGUUUUAGUUAUUCCAUUAACAUCCCAGAAAAUUAAAAACAGGCAGUCCUUCCCCAGUCUGAAUUAGAUGCACUAAUGUCAAUAUCCUUAUUGUGACAAAAGAUUACUAAUCACAUUUUACCACAUUCCUCCCCCCCACAUUUUUAUUCCUUGGAAGAUAGGGGUAGAGUUGCAAUACCUAAAGCAUUUUGGGGCUUCAAAUUAAACAUUUCAGAAAUAUUUUAGAUCUGGCCUCUUCAUUUAAAACUUGUUUUAGUAUAAGCAUCAACAGGGCAACUACCUAUAUGUCAUGAAUGGGUAUCAAAAUCAUUGGGACCUUGUUUCUGAUAUUUUAAUUGGAGAUUCCUGGCCCUGUCACCAAUUCUUAAAUGGUACUGAUACGUUGCCAAGUUUGGAAACCACUUUCUAAAAGCAAUCAGCUAAUAAGUCUAAGUGGAAAUCAAGCAAUAUUUGAAAAAGGUGCUUAAUGAUCCCCUGUUUACAACUAUUCUUCUUGGGUUUUGCCUUCAUGAGAAUUUGAGUAUAUUUGAAUUCGUAAUUAUAUAUUCUUUAUUGUAAAUGCUAGUGAUGUGAUGAACAACAGAAGUAUAAAAAUAAGAAAAUGGCUUUAAUCAAUAUGAAUCUGAUCGGUUUGAUUUAUACAAACAAUUCUUGAUAGCCCUAAUAAUCAUUUCAAUGUUUACUUCUACAUAUUUGGCAGUAGCUAUUUGUUUAAAAAGCUAUGGUUUAAAACACACAUAGUUCCAUCUAUUAAAUA
rnacentral:lncRNA from 1 species